rnacentral:ncRNA from 1 species
GCGGGUGGGAAUCCCGCGCGGUCGCGCCACUGUGAGCCGGAGCGAUCCGGCGAGCCAGA